ACAUCCAGAGAAUUUAGCAGAGAUGCUUUAGUGCCUUCGGGAACUCUGAGACAGGUGCUGCAUGGCUGUCGUCAGCUCGUGUUGUGAAAUGUUGGGUUAAGUCCCGCAACGAGCGCAACCCUUUAUCCUUUGUUGCCAGCACGUAAUGGUGGGAACUCAAAGGAGACUGCCGGUGAUAAACCGGAGGAAGGUGGGGAUGACGUCAAGUCAUCAUGGCCCUUACGAGUAGGGCUACACACGUGCUACAAUGGCGCAUACAAAGAGAAGCGACCUCGCGAGAGCAAGCGGACCUCAUAAAGUGCGUCGUAGUCCGGAUUGGAGUCUGCAACUCGACUCCAUGAAGUCGGAAUCGCUAGUAAUCGUAAAUCAGAAUGUUACGGUGAAUACGUUCCCGGGCCUUGUACACACCGCCCGUCACACCAUGGGAGUGGGUUGCAAAAGAGGUAGAUAGCUUAACCUUCGGGAGGGCGUUUACCACUUUGUGAUUCAUGACUGGGGUGAAGUCGUAACAAGGUAGGCGUAGUGCU
rnacentral:rRNA from 1 species